CUUCUCUGCAGCUAGUUUUCUCUCUGCAUCAGUGAAACUGAUACAGCGCGGCCUACUAUUUCUCCACAAACCACAAAAUUAGCUGAUGAUUUUAGAAUCGGGGUAUCCUUAAAAUAGCAUAUCUGUGGAGCCAAUCCAGGCUUGAGUCUCCAGAAACAUGGAUAACUAUGAUACACACUAGAUCCGGUAGCCAUGGUAACCGCUGGACCUGCACAGUGGUGCGGUGGAGACUCAGUGGAGUUCUGGUUUCGCGGUUGUUGGUGGAGGGGUAAGUUACUUAAUUGUAGCAUUAUGCAUUUUUCACUAAU